UGGGGAGUGACGUCAAAUCAUCAUGCCCCUUACUGACCUGGGCGUACACACGUGCUACAAUGGUUGGUACAACGAGUUGCGAGUCGGUGACGGCGAGCUAAUCUCUUAAAGACCAAUCUCAGUUCGGAUUGUAGGCUGCAACUCGCCUACAUGAAGUCGGAAUCGCUAGUAAUCGCGGAUCAGCACGCCGCGGUGAAUACGUUCCCGGGCCUU
rnacentral:rRNA from 1 species